rnacentral:rRNA from 1 species
AUACAGAGGGUGCGAGCGUUAAUCGGAAUUACUGGGCGUAAAGCGCGCGUAGGCGGCUGAUUAAGUCAGAUGUGAAAUCCCAGGGCUCAACCUUGGAACUGCAUCUGAUACUGGUAAGCUAGAGUUUUGGAGAGGGAAGUAGAAUUUCAGGUGUAGCGGUGAAAUGCAUAGAGAUCUGAAGGAAUACCAGUGGCGAAGGCGACUUCCUGGCCAAAAACUGACGCUGAGGUGCGAAAGCGUGGGUAGCAAACGGGAUUAGAAACCCCAGUAGUCC